rnacentral:rRNA from 1 species
AGUCACUGACAUUAGAUACCCCUGUAGUCCAGGGUGUAAACGCUGCAGACUUGGUGUUGGAAGUCCUUUGGGGGCAUUCAGUGCCGGAGAGAAGUUGUUAAGUCUGCUACUUGGGGAGUACGUCCGCAAGGAUGAAACUUAAAGGAAUUGGCGGGGGAGCACCGCAACGGGAGGAGCGUGCGGUUUAAUUGGAUUCAACACCGUAAAACUCACCAGGGAAGACUGUUACAUGAAGGCCGAGAUGAAGACUCUGCUAGAUUUUCAG